AGGCCCCGCCCGCCCCGGCCGGUGAGCAGACAAGCCUCUCGGGCUGUCCUGAGUUCCCAGGUGGCAAACGAUACCAACUUUUCUUCCUCAUGAUGACUUCCAGAAGUGAAAAAACGAAAUCCAGAACACACUGUCUUCUUAGGAAACAUGAUGCCAGAGUUACUAGAAGAAAGAUGAAAACAACUGCAAAAGCUUGGAGGCUAGGAGCUGAGAUUAUCUGAAGACUUGCUCAUUCACAUGUAUGGUGGUUGAUGCUGGCUGUCAGGUAGCCAAGUUUUUUCCUGUGUCCUGCCUGCUGUCUGCUAAACAUCGUGGCUCCAGGACUUCUGACUUAGAGGUGAUGGUGGGCAAGAGUGGUCUUCAGAACUGCAAGGGACCUCACUGACUCCUGCAGACCCACCAGCCCAACUGCCUGGAAACUGCCAUUGUCCAAGAUAAUCUCCCACUUCGGGCCCCUAAUUUUAGUCUCCCAACAACGCGGGAUUCGGCCUCCAUCCGAUCCAGUGAUUGCAUCCAGUUCUUGGAGCAGCAUGGCGUCCAGAGUCCUCUCUGGGGUGCCCUUAUCAACAUAGCACCAGAUUAUCUACCCAGUCUGAGAAUUUAACGCUGCAACUUCGUUCUUCUCUGUGGCUAAAACCAACAUUUUAGAUCCAGGAAAAAUUCCAGGACGGCAAACUUGAGCUUCCCCAAAUACCGCUGUCUCCAAACUUGCCCGCUUGGUCUCUGUAGACAGCAGCUGCACAGAUACGCAGGGAAGGCCAGAGUCAGAAACCAAAAGCCUACGGGCACAGCCGUGAUGGGAGCCUAGGCCCCGCCCGCUACCGGCCCAGCAUACACCGCGGCGCAGGCUCGGACUCCGUGGAACCUGAGAGUUGGCACCGCACGCAACACCUUCGGUGAGUUGCUCUUAAUACUUGUUUUCUCAGUUUUCACUUAUUUGUCCAUACGAAAUUGCUGGGUUUUUUGUUUUUGUUUUUUUUUACGGUACG